rnacentral:pre_miRNA from 1 species
UAAUGAUGAUGGUGAUGAUGAUGGUGGUGAUGAUGAUGAUUAGAGAUAUAUCGCUAUUUUAAUCAUCAACUACAAACAUCAUCAUCAUCAUCAUCACCAUCAUCAUCACCACCACCA